GGGAAAGGUAUUUAAUUCACUUAAUCAAGCACACUUCAAUCCUUUAGGAACUAAAAGAACAAGCUGAUUGAUGGGGGAAAACAGAGCUUAAACCAGCUUUGCAUAAAAAACAACAUGAAUGAAUACAUAUUAUCCUAAGCAUGAAGCAGUUUUUAAACCAAACGUGUUUAAACAAACCCCAACAGGAGGUGUCCUUCUUGCAAACCUAUCCGACAUGACAGACUAAACUCCAAAUCCAAACUGUAAGAUGAAAGGUAAUAUCAAUGACAUGAAUGAACAUAAUAAACCAUGGAUACACUAAAUUAAGACAGAACUUCUAAAAGACAUAGCCAACAUUCAAUAAAAGGAAACUAAUGUUCAUCUUCGAAAUCUCCAAUCGAUUACAUAACUCCAAACUUGCACUUCACACAUUUAGGGAGUCCAAGAAGUACCUGGGUGCAGAAAUUUGAACAAGAAAAGAUGAAGAAAUCAGUAGCAAUAGAACAGUGCCAAUCAGCCACUCAACAACAGCAAAUUCAGCUUCCUUGAACCAUUUUCGAACCCAAAUCAACUAAGAGGUCUUUGAAGUGUUAAAAUGACUCUAAUAGUGUACCCAAAAAUGUAAUUCCAAGCAGUUUUUAACCAAGCCUGAUGCAGAGAGUUUUUCAGUCUUUUUAGGGUGUCCGUCCUCUGUGCUAAGUGAAGGAAAGACCUUAUUUAUAAGGCAGGGGUCUGUUGUGUGCCAUUCAAGACAAGACAAUGAGAUUAUCCCCAAAAUACCCUCACAGGGCAUCUUUUAAAACUGAUUUUUGUACAGCUGUCCUUCUCUUUUAGAUAUUUUCAUUUUUCAGCCUAUUUUCCUUAACAAUUUUGGGCAGCUGUCCAUUUAGGAAUCUUCCCAAUCAAUUACUAAAGAUUCCCCAGGUUAAACAAUCCCCAAGCUACCCCUAAAGUUCCUAAUUAUUCAAUUAACACCCUUGAAAGUUCUGAACAUGUAAAACCUAAACGAACAAUUUUCUAACAGAACCCAUAGGCCAAACGAAUCAAAUGACAUUAAUCUCUAAAAUCUAAAUAGAUUUAUCAUUGGAAUGCACUCAGAACUAAACCCACACCUGAACAGUCAAAAUUGACAUUUAGCAAGAAUCAAUGAACCUAUUUGAUAUUUAAACUCUGAAAAAAUUAACAAUCAUCUUAACAGGGAAUUCAAAACAACAUGAUUCACUAAUAUGCUGAUUUUGGAGAAAAAUUCAUUAAACAUAGGUUAAAUAAUUAAACUAAACCCUAAAUGGAGAACUACUGAUUUUAGAGGCAAAUGCAAUAGUUAGCCCUAAACUUAACUGAUUAACACUGACGAUUAGUUACGGGGAAAAGAAAACAAAAUUCUAGCGGCUUAAGAUUAAAGCUAACUGACCCCUUUCCCUUUUUUAAGACAAAAGAAACAGAAGAAGAAGAAGAAGAAGAUGAUGAUGAUGAAGAAGAAGAAGAAGAAGAAGAAGAAGAAGAAAUUUUAAAAUGUAAGGAGGCUCCAGAAAAGCAAGAUGAUGAGAAGAUGAAAAAAGUAAAAAAGGAACAAAUACCUAGCAAAUAAUGACUGUCCAUUCUUACUGGAAUCGUCUUCUCCGAUUUAACCCAAAAAUGGGUGUCAAAUGAUUGUUCCCAUCGAGAACAAACAAGUGAUACCCAUUUCGGCUCAAAUCAUCUAUGAAGGCACAUGCAUGUCCAGCCCAGAUUUGAUAUGGCUCCAAUUCGAUAAGCCUCUUGGGCAAUCAACAAGAUGUGAUGGGUGGAAGGAGCAAGGGGACAAUCUGGUGAGGUUUUGGGUGGGCUUGGGCGAAUUAGGGUUUUGGAGGUUCCCGGUUUAGAUCUAAAAUUCGGGGUAUUUGGUAAUUAUUCGAGGGAAACGGGUUAAAGAUUUGAACAGAUGAGGGCAAGGGGAUUAUAUGGUAUCAAUUUUGAGGGGAUCAGAGUGGUUUAUGCCAUCGCCGCUGGCGGAUAUGGUGGAGGUUUCAGGGACGGCGAGCUCUAGGGUUUUGAGAGACAAGGGGGUGAGGAGAAGACUGA
rnacentral:lncRNA from 1 species